rnacentral:lncRNA from 1 species
CCUGAAGCAUGUUUGUGGACACCUUAAACCACAAGUCCCAUCUCAGACAAUCAAUGCCUUCUUUAAAGAGCUGCUCCUUGAACUACUCCCAGGAUAUAAGGCUGGAGUCAAAGUCUUUCUUUAUUAUUUGAUCCAAUGAAUUCACCGCAGAGGAAAACCACACUUCGUCCUCUACAAAGUCAAGGGCAUCUGAGAGGAGCAUCUCAGUGAAGCUUCAAAAUCGCUGUGUUUUCAGAUCCUGGUUCUCAGAAGAAUAGAGAAAACCCUGAUGAGAUGGAAGAGUUCCCUGGACCCCUUCACAGGACUUGCAUCAGAGUUGUGGUUCGCUCACUCAGUCACUGUGCUCAACCCCUUACGAGAGGAGGAGCACCCAGCAUGGAUACAAUCUACUGUAGAAUUUCAGAUGAUGGUCCGGGAGCUUUACGGGUAAGAAGAAUUUUUUUCUUGACCUUUACAACAUUAUUAUUCAUAGGAUUGUGUAAUGACAGGGGAAAAGAUACAUAAAAGAUGCCUAUUUGUGUGAACUAAAUUAUUUUAUGGUCAGUGGUAAUUACGAGGCAAAUCUUCUUCUCACCCAUAUGAA